UACGUAGGGCGCAAGCGUUGUCCGGAAUUAUUGGGGCGUAAAGAGCUCGUAGGCGGCUUGUCACGUCGAUUGUGAAAACUCGGGGCUCAACCCCGAGCCUGCAUUCGAUACGGGCAGACUAGAGUUCGGUAGGGGAGACUGGAAUUCCUGGUGUAGCGGUGAAAUGCGCAGAUAUCAGGAGGAACACCGGUGGCGAAGGCGGGUCUCUGGGCCGAUACUGACGCUGAGGAGCGAAAGCGUGGGGAGCGAACAGG
rnacentral:rRNA from 1 species